rnacentral:rRNA from 1 species
AUGAACGCUGGCGGCGUGCCUAAUACAUGCAAGUCGAGCGAACAGACGAGGAGAUUGCUCCUCUGACGUUAGCGGCGGACGGGUGAGUAACACGUGGAUAACCUACCUAUAAGACUGGGAUAACUUCGGGAAACCGGAGCUAAUACCGGAUAAUAUAUUGAACCGCAUGGUUCAAUAGUGAAAGACGGUUUUGCUGUCACUUAUAGAUGGAUCCGCGCCGCAUUAGCUAGUUGGUAAGGUAACGGCUUACCAAGGCAACGAUGCGUAGCCGACCUGAGAGGGUGAUCGGCCACACUGGAACUGAGACACGGUCCAGACUCCUACGGGAGGCAGCAGUAGGGAAUCUUCCGCAAUGGGCGAAAGCCUGACGGAGCAACGCCGCGUGAGUGAUGAAGGUCUUCGGAUCGUAAAACUCUGUUAUUAGGGAAGAACAAAUGUGUAAGUAACUAUGCACGUCUUGACGGUACCUAAUCAGAAAGCCACGGCUAACUACGUG